AUUAAAGAGGAAGUUGAAGAGUGAAAAAGAAUUAGACUUUCUGAUCAACACUGGAGCUACAUUUUCAGUUUUGAAUAAAGAACUAGUGCCAAAGAGUGAUGAAUUUGUUCAAG